CCGCCGAGCUCCCUGGUGGACAUGGACCGGAGGUUCCUGUAGGAGCUCGACCUCGAGAGAGAACGUGACAGGCUCUUGCACUUUCGUAGCAGCACAUUUCUGAACCUGUUCAUGUACUCAAAAAUCUAAAUCUAAACCAAAACCCUCCAAACUAAUCAAAAUUCUCUCAAUACCAAUUUGACCCAAUACACAAACACAGACAAAACUAGGAUUCAAUUAAGCUUAAUCAAGCUAGCUUCAAACAUAUAUAAGAUCAGAAAGC
rnacentral:lncRNA from 1 species